GACGAACGCUGGCGGCGUGCCUAAUACAUGCAAGUAGAACGCUGAAGGAGGAGCUUGCUUCUCUGGAUGAGUUGCGAACGGGUGAGUAACGCGUAGGUAACCUGCCUGGUAGCGGGGGAUAACUAUUGGAAACGAUAGCUAAUACCGCAUAAUAGCAGUUGUUGCAUGACAACUGUUUGAAAGGUGCAAAUGCAUCACUACCAGAUGGACCUGCGUUGUAUUAGCUAGUUGGUGGGGUAAAGGCUCACCAAGGCGACGAUACAUAGCCGACCUGAGAGGGUGAUCGGCCACACUGGGACUGAGACACGGCCCAGACUCCUACGGGAGGCAGCAGUAGGGAAUCUUCGGCAAUGGACGGAAGUCUGACCGAGCAACGCCGCGUGAGUGAAGAAGGUUUUCGGAUCGUAAAGCUCUGUUGUAAGAGAAGAACGAGUGUGAGAGUGGAAAGUUCACACUGUGACGGUAUCUUACCAGAAAGGGACGGCUAACUACGU
rnacentral:rRNA from 1 species